GUAGUCUAUCAAAGCAGUGCUCCAGCAGGAACACUUGUAACACCUCCUCCCCAGUUACCGCUUGGCAUCCAGCCAUCCAGUGGGCUGCGGUACGAUGGACUCUGCAGGCCCAUUCCACAUAAGAGUCCCCAGCCAGCUUGUUGGUUUCUCUAAACCUCCGCCUGUACGCCUCUGGGGUCACUGCAUACCUGGCUAGGAGCGCCUCUUUCAC